GGAGGUCACUGCUAUCGGAGUCCGACUAAGCCAUGCGAGUCGAGGGCCCCCGCAAGGGGGACCGGCGUACUGCUCAGUAACACGUGGACAACCUGCCCUCGGGUCGGGGAUACCCCCGGGAAACUGGGGACAAUACCCGGCGGGCCACGGAGGCUGGAAUGCCCUGUGGCCGAAAGGCGCAAGCCGCCCGAGGAUGGGUCUGCGGCCUAUCAGGCUGUUGGGGGGUGUAACGGACCCCCAAACCGAAGACGGGUACGGGCACUGAGAGGUGGAGCCCGGAGUUGGGUUCUGAGACAUGAACCCAGGCCCUACGGGCGCAGCAGGCGCGAUG
rnacentral:rRNA from 1 species